rnacentral:rRNA from 1 species
UACGGGGGGGUAAGCGUUGUUCGGAAUUACUGGGCGUAAAGGGCUCGUAGGCGGCCAACUAAGUCGGACGUGAAAUCCCUCAGCUUAACUGGGGAACUGCGUCCGAUACUGGAUGGCUUGGAUUUGGGAGAGGGAUGCGGAAUUCCAGGUGUAGCGGUGAAAUGCGUAGAUAUCAGGAGGAACACCUAUAGCGAAGGCAGCUUGCUGGGACGUUACUGACGCUAAGGCGCGAAAGCGUGGGGAGCGAACAGG